rnacentral:rRNA from 1 species
UACGUACUGUGCGAACGUUAUUCGGAAUCACUGGGCUUAAAGGGUGUGUAGGCGGCCAGCUAAGUAGGGUGUGAAAGGCCUCGGCCUAACCGAGGCAUUGCGCUCUAAACUGACUGGCUUGAGUGAGAUAGGGGUGUGCGGAACUUCCAGUGGAGCGGUGAAAUGUGUUGAUAUUGGAAGGAACGCCGGUGGCGAAAGCGACACACUGGGUCUCAACUGACGCUGAGGCACGAAAGCCAGGGGAGCGAACGGG